GGAACAGCCGCAAAUAGCUGGGGCUGCGGCGUGCAGGGCACCCGGCACCCAUCCGGGCAGCCUGAAUGUCGUGAAGUGUGGAACGUAAUUUGGAGGACAACUGGCAGAACUCCCAAGACAGGGAAGAAAAAAAUGAUGACGACUUAGUAAUUCUGCUGAAAUCGGCUCCAGCUGGGCAACAGACUGGCUAUGGAACCCCCAACCCUGGGAAGGCCACAUCCACGGGACAUUCAUGUGAGAGGCAGCUGAGCGGGGGGCUU